rnacentral:rRNA from 1 species
GACGAACGCUGGCGGCGUGCCUAGUACAUGCAAGUAGGACGCAGUUGCGAACGGGUGAGUAACGCGUAGGUAACUGCAUAUUAGAGGGGGAUAACUAUUGGAAACGAUAGCUAAUACCGCAUACUUAUAGAUGGACCUGCGAUGGCUUAGCUAGGAGGUAGGGUAAUGUCCUACCUAGGCGACGAUACAUAACCGACCUGAGAGGGUGAUCGGCCACACUGGGACUGAGACACGGCCCAGACUCCUACGGGAGGCAGCAGGAGGGAACCUUCGGCAAUGGACGAAAGGCUGACAGAGCAACGCCGCGUGCGUGAAGAAGAGUUUCGGAUCGUAAAACUCUUUUGUUAGAGAAGCGGUAUCUACCCAGAAAGCCACGGCUAACUACGUGCCAGCAGCCGCGGUAAUUC